rnacentral:rRNA from 1 species
UACGUAGGGUGCGAGCGCUAAUCGGAAUUACUGGGCGUAAAGAGUGCGUAGGCGGUUCGUUAAGUCAGCUGUGAAAGCCCCGGGCUCAACCUGGGAACUGCGGUUGAAACUGGCGAACUAGAAUCUGGCAGAGGGGGGUGGAAUUCCACGUGUAGCAGUGAAAUGCGUAGAGAUGUGGAGGAACACCGAUGGCGAAGGCAGCCCCCUGGGCUGAGAUUGACGCUCAGGCACGAAAGCGUGGGGAGCAAACAGG